CUUUGAAUGAUCCAUCCUAUGACUUGCUGGACUCAAUUUUUUCUAAAGAGAAAAACGAAGUCCAUCCAAGAGACUUUCCCUUUUGGAAAUUUCUCCACAAGAGCUCAGGAUGCCAGUGUUUGUGCUAGCACCUCUGUUGCCAUAGGUACUACAUAUGGAUACACAGAGAUUUGCAGAAACGACGACUGGGCUGAUUUGUGAAGAGCUGAAGCAACUACUUGAUGUAAAACUGAACUAUAGUCUUUAAAUAUGCAUGUAUCUUUAAAAUUACACAUAAAAUACAUUAUAUGUAUAUUUCAUAUCUGUCUACCUAUCUUUACUUUCUUUAAAUUGGCAAUUUCACUUUUUUAGCAAUUACUUUCUGAGAAAUUUGAAGUUAAUAUUUUGGUGAAUAAAAUUGCUGACAACUCUUUUAGAUUUAGAAUAUACAUUCUCCCUUGAGCCACAAUUAUAGUAAAAAAAGGACACUGCUCACAUGCUUACCUUUGUUUCCUUAGCAGGUGGCAGAAUGUUUAGCUCAUGGUAAGUCUACAACAUUAUUUGUUAAAAGAAUAGAUGUAUAAAUACAAUUCAGAGUUUCAACAUAUAAAGUUUACUAAUAAAAUUGAGAAUAUGUGGAAAAUGACAUUCUUUAAUUAGCUCAUCGUAAUUGUAGAUUUUUCUAUAAAUGAUAACCAUAUGAACACAAUACAUGGACUGGAAUAUAAGCCUUGGCCAAAAAAUGUAAGCUCUAUAAAGACAGGAAAAUUUUGUUUUGUUCACCACCAUAUCUAUAGUGUUCCUAACAGUGAUUAGCACAAAGUAGGUACUCAGUACAUAUUCAAUAAAUGAAAUGAAUAAUUUCAAAACACAUUAAAGAAAAAUAUAAAAUAUUUUAUUUAACUACAUCAGCUUAAAAGUUCAGUCAAAAUAUGUAAUUAGGAUUUUCAUGUUGGCAUAUAUACAAUAAAAUAUUUUGGAUAAAGAGCUUGAAAU
rnacentral:lncRNA from 10 species